rnacentral:rRNA from 1 species
AGUGAACGCUGGCGGUAGGCCUAACACAUGCAAGUCGAACGGCAGCACAGUAAGAGCUUGCUCUUACGGGUGGCGAGUGGCGGACGGGUGAGGAAUACAUCGGAAUCUACUUUUUCGUGGGGGAUAACGUAGGGAAACUUACGCUAAUACCGCAUACGACCUACGGGUGAAAGCAGGGGAUCUUCGGACCUUGCGCGAUUGAAUGAGCCGAUGUCGGAUUAGCUAGUUGGCGGGGUAAAGGCCCACCAAGGCGACGAUCCGUAGGUGGUCUGAGAGGAUGAGCAGCCACACUGGAACUGAGACACGGUCCAGACCCCUACGGGAGGCAGCAGUGGGGAAUAUUAGACAAUGGGCGCAAGCCUGAUCCAGCCAUACCGCGUGGGUGAAGAAGGCCUUCGGGUUGUAAAGCCAUUUUGUUGGGAAAGAAAAGCAGCAGGUUAAUACCCCACUGUUCUGACGGUACCCAAAGAAUAAGCACCGGCUAACUUCGUG